rnacentral:rRNA from 1 species
UGGGGAAUUUUGGACAAUGGGCGCAAGCCUGAUCCAGCCAUGCCGCGUGCGGGAAGAAGGCCUUCGGGUUGUAAACCGCUUUUGUUAGGGAAGAAAAGGUUCUGGCUAAUACCUGGGACUCAUGACGGUACCUGAAGAAUAAGCACCGGCUAACUACGUGCCAGCAGCCGCGGUAAUACGUAGGGUGCAAGCGUUAAUCGGAAUUACUGGGCGUAAAGCGUGCGCAGGCGGUUAUGCAAGACAGAGGUGAAAUCCCCGGGCUCAACCUGGGAACUGCCUUUGUGACUGCAUGGCUAGAGUACGGUAGAGGGGGAUGGAAUUCCGCGUGUAGCAGUGAAAUGCGUAGAUAUGCGGAGGAACACCGAUGGCGAAGGCAAUCCCCUGGACCUGUACUGACGCUCAUGCACGAAAGCGUGGGGAGCAAACAGG